UUUGGUGGCGAUAGCGAAGAGGUCACACCCGUUCCCAUGCCGAACACGGAAGUUAAGCUCUUCAGCGCCGAUGGUAGUUGGGGG
rnacentral:rRNA from 1 species